rnacentral:rRNA from 1 species
AUUGAACGCUGGCGGCAUGCCUUACACAUGCAGGUCGAACGGUAACGGGUCCUUCGGGAUGCCGACGAGUGGCGAACGGGUGAGUAAUAUAUCGGAACGUGCCCAGUAGUGGGGGAUAACUGCUCGAAAGAGCAGCUAAUACCGCAUACGACCUGAGGGUGAAAGGGGGGGAUCGCAAGACCUCUCGCUAUUGGAGCGGCCGAUAUCAGAUUAGCUAGUUGGUGGGGUAAAGGCCUACCAAGGCAACGAUCUGUAGUUGGUCUGAGAGGACGACCAGCCACACUGGGACUGAGACACGGCCCAGACUCCUCCGGGAGGCAGCAGUGGGGAAUUUUGGACAAUGGGCGCAAGCAUGAUCCAGCAAUGCCGCGUGCAGGAAGAAGGCCGUCGGGUUGUAAACUGCUUUUGUCAGGGAAGAAAUCUUCUGGGCUAAUACCCCGGGAGGAUGACGGUACCUGAAGAAUAAGCACCGGCUAACUACGUGCCAGCCGCCGCAGUAA